rnacentral:rRNA from 1 species
GUGAGGAAUAUUGGACAAUGGGCGCAAGCCUGAUCCAGCCAUGCCGCGUGCAGGAAGACGCAUCUAUGGUGUGUAAACUGCUUUUGUACGGGAAGAAACACUCCCUCGUGAGGGAGCUUGACGGUACCGUAAGAAUAAGGAUCGGCUAACUCCGUGCCAGCAGCCGCGGUAAUACGGAGGAUCCAAGCGUUAUCCGGAAUCAUUGGGUUUAAAGGGUCCGUAGGCGGUUUAAUAAGUCAGUGGUGAAAGCCCAUCGCUCAACGAUGGAACGGCCAUUGAUACUGUUAGACUUGAAUUACAAAGAAGUAACUAGAAUAUGUAGUGUAGCGGUGAAAUGCUUAGAUAUUACAUGGAAUACCAAUUGCGAAGGCAGGUUACUACUUGUGGAUUGACGCUGAUGGACGAAAGCGUGGGGAGCGAACAGGAUUAGAAACCCCGGUAGUCC